GACGAACCGUGCGAACGUUAUUCGGAAUCAUUGGGCUUAAAGGGCGCGUAGGCGGCGGCGUAAGUUGGGGGCGAAAGCCUGUGGCUCAACCACAGAAUUGCCUUCGAUACUGCAUGGCUUGAGACCGGAAGAGGUUAGUGGAACUGCGAGUGUAGAGGUGAAAUUCGUAGAUAUUCGCAAGAACACCAGUGGCGAAGGCGGCUGACUGGUCCGGUUCUGACGCUGAGGCGCGAAAGCGUGGGUAGCAAACAGG
rnacentral:rRNA from 1 species